rnacentral:rRNA from 1 species
GACGAACGCUGGCGGCGUGCUUAACACAUGCAAGUCGAACGGAAAGGCCCUGCUUUUGUGGGGUGCUCGAGUGGCGAACGGGUGAGUAACACGUGAGUAACCUGCCCUUGACUUUGGGAUAACUUCAGGAAACUGGGGCUAAUACCGGAUAGGAGCUCCUGCUGCAUGGUGGGGGUUGGAAAGUUUCGGCGGUUGGGGAUGGACUCGCGGCUUAUCAGCUUGUUGGUGGGGUAGUGGCUUACCAAGGCUUUGACGGGUAGCCGGCCUGAGAGGGUGACCGGCGACAUUGGGACUGAGAUACGGCCCAGACUCGUACGGGAGGCAGCAGUGGGGAAUAUUGCACAAUGGGCGGAAGCCUGAUGCAGCAACGCCGCGUGCGGGAUGACGGCCUUCGGGUUGUAAACCGCUUUCGCAUGUGACGAAGCGUGAGUGACGGUAAUGGGUAAAGAAGCACCGGCUAACUACGUG